rnacentral:rRNA from 1 species
UAGGGAAUUUUCCGCAAUGGGCGAAAGCCUGAMGGAGCAAUACCGCGUGAGGGAUGACGGCCUGUGGGUUGUAAACCUCUUUUCUCAAGGAAGAAGUUCUGACGGUACUUGAGGAAUAAGCAUCGGCUAACUCUGUGCCAGCAGCCGCGGUAAUACAGAGGAUGCAAGCGUUAUCUGGAAUCACUGGGCAUAAAGCGUCUGUAGGUGGUUUGGUAAGUCUGCUGUUAAAGACUGGGGCUCAACCCCAGAAAAGCAGUGGAAACUGCUAGACUUGAGUGUGGUAGAGGUAGAGGGAAUUCCUAGUGUAGCGGUGAAAUGCGUAGAUAUUAGGAAGAACACCAAUGGCGAAGGCACUCUACUGGGCCAUAACUGACACUGAGAGACGACAGCUAGGGGAGCAAAUGGGAUUAGAUACCCCAGUAGUCCUAGCCGUAAACGAUGGAUACUAGA